UACGGAGGGUGCAAACGUUGGCUCGGAAUUAUUGGGCGUAAAGCGCACGUAGGCGGUACCAUCAAGUCGGAUGUGAAAUCCCCUCGGCUUAGCCGAGGACGUGCAUUCGAAACUGAUGGCCUUGAGUACGAAAGAGGGAUCGCGGAAUUCCCGGUGUAGAGGUGAAAAUUCGUAGAUAUCGGGAGGAACACCAGUGGCGAAGGCGGCGAAUCGUGGGUCGAUACUGACGCUGAGGUGCGAAAGCGUGGGGAGCAAACGGGG
rnacentral:rRNA from 1 species